rnacentral:rRNA from 1 species
UGGGGGAUAUUGCACAAUGGGCGAAAGCCUGAUGCAGCGACGCCGCGUGGGGGAUGAAGGCUUUCGGGUUGUAAACCUCUUUCGCUAUCGAACAAGGCCCGCUUAGGGUGGGUUGAGGGUAGGUGGAGAAGAAGCGCCGGCUAACUACGUGCCAGCAGCCGCGGAAAUACGUAGGGCGCGAGCGUUGUCCGGAAUUAUUGGGCGUAAAGGGCUUGUAGGCGGCUUGUUGCGCCUGCUGUGAAAACGCGGGGCUUAACUUCGCGCGUGCAGUGGGUACGGGCAGGCUUGAGUGUGGUAGGGGUGACUGGAAUUGCAGGUGUAGCGGUGGAAUGCGCAGAUAUCUGGAGGAACACCGAUGGCGAAGGCAGGUCACUGGGCCAUUACUGACGCUGAGGAGCGAAAGCAUGGGUAGCGAACAGG